CCCUGCACUACAGUGUCACAUCCAUAUCUCCAGGGCACAGCUUUAUCAUCUUUGUAUGGAAAAGGAGUCGGGACUUUAAAAGUUAUCGGCCUAGGGAGGAGCUUGUCUAUGAUUGAUUUUGGUUUGUUUCCACACCGAAUUGUCACUGGUUUGGGAAACAACUUUUCAGGCCUAUCAGUCAUGUACACCUCAGCAUUCUUCAAGCUUUUUUUUUCUUCGUAGACCUUCAUCUGAUGUGAAUCC
rnacentral:lncRNA from 1 species